rnacentral:misc_RNA from 1 species
GAAGUGCGACAAGUGUCAUGACUUGCAGAUUCCCGAGAGCUGACAAAUUUCUGAAUGCAAAUGGCGGCCAUUAACACCGGCCAUGUAUUGCAGAGUGUAGUUGUUCCUACCCAUCAUCCCUCAACAAGGCUCGUACGAGCUUGUUGUCAAGGGGAACUGCGCUUGCGACGCCACAACCCCUUGCGCGCGAGCGUGAAAAAGUGGAGCGUCGAGUCGACCAGUUCGCUGGCUCGAUUCGACGACUUCGGAAGCCUUAAAACACUUCUAGGAGUUGAGCUCCCGAACCAUUCUAGACAGCCACCUCUGCGAUGCAGGAGAACCCGCUGAACUUAA